rnacentral:misc_RNA from 1 species
UGUUAAAGGAAUUCACACAGGACAGAUGGUUCUAUGCUUAGUUGAAGCUAUCGGUAAGCUUUACAUGGGAAUUUAUUCAUAAAGAGUUGCAGUACCUAUGUAAACAAUUAGUCUGUAACUUUUCAAUGACAGCAAAUGUACUUGUGAUGUGUCAAGGAAAUCUUCUCUUAAAAGUUCAAGCUAUGCUUUUUCUUACCAUUCAUGAAUAAUGAAGUUUCCAUUGAAAAUGAACUUGUAUCCUGACAUAUUUA